rnacentral:rRNA from 1 species
AUUUGUGGCUAUACAUGCUUGUCAAAGCCUGAUCUCAUCAGAUCUCAGAGGCUAAGCAAGGCUGGGCCUGGUUAGUUCUUUGAUGGGAGACUGCUGGGAAUAUUAGGUGCCACAGUGG